rnacentral:pre_miRNA from 6 species
UAGCAGCACGUAAAUAUUGGCGUAGUGAAAUAAAUAUUAAACACCAAUAUUAUUGUGCUGCUUUA